AUGGAUGCGAUGGAUUCGGUCGCCGUGAUGGAGGUGGCGCCGGUGCCGGACCCGCUCUUCGUCGGCGCCACUCCCCUGAUCCCGGCGCCACCGGAGUCGGAGCUCGUGCUGCGCCGCAGCGCCCGCUGCCUCGGCAGGCCACGUCUCCCAGUCUACGCGGAGCCGGAGGAGCCCAAGCAGUCCGCCGGCCGCCGGGGUCGCCCUAAGAAGAAGAGGGACGAGGAAAACCAGGACCCGGCUCCGCAGGUCGCGGCCAAGGUGCCCCGGAAGACCGCCAAGGUCGAGCCAAAGGAGAGGAAGCCGAUGCCGGUGGUUGGGCCGGAACCGGUUCCUGCUGAUUUCACCGGAGCUGCCGCGGAGGACGACGCCCUCGGCACGGGAAAGAGUGCCAAGCUGCGGGUCAAGGAAACCUUGCGUGCCUUCAACAGCCACUACCUCCACCUUGUCCAGGAAGAGCAGAAAAGAGCACAGGCUGUCAUACAGGAGAUUGCAGCCAAAGGAGCUGCCAAAAAUAAGGAUGGCAAGAAAGGGGGCGAAGGCGAGGCCAAAGAAAAGCGCCCGUCUAAGCGGCCUGAUUUGAAAGCAAUUACAAAGAUGCAAGAGAACAACUCUUUUCUUUAUACGGAGAAGGUGUUAGGGCCAAUACCAGGGAUCGACGUCGGGGAUCAGUUUUAUUCUCGUGCGGAGAUGGUGGUCUUAGGCAUUCACAGCCAUUGGCUGAAUGGAAUUGACUAUAUGGGUAUGAAAUACCAAGAAAAGAAGGAGUACGAGAACUUCACUUUCCCCAUGGCAACUUGCAUUGUCAUGUCAGGGAUAUAUGAAGAUGAUCUGGACAAGGCUGAUGAAAUUAUUUAUACUGGUCAGGGAGGGAAUGAUUUACUUGGCAACCAUCGCCAAAUUGGUUCUCAACAACUGAACCGUGGAAAUUUGGCAUUGAAGGUUGUAGAUGACUGGGUGCAGAAGGGAGUACAAGGACAUGUGGUAUACAAGUAUAAAUUGAAGAGGCUUGAGGGUCAGCCGUCAUUGACAACCACUGAGGUGCGAUUCACUCGUGCGGAAGCUCCCAGAAAGAUUUCUGAAUUACCUGGGUUGGUUUGUGAUGACAUCUCUGGAGGACAGGAGAACAUUCCAAUUCCUGCUACUAAUGUGGUCGACGACCCACCUGUUCCUCCAUCUGGUUUUGUGUACUCCAAAUCGCUAAAAAUCUCAAAAGGCAUGAAGAUUCCAUCUGAUUGUGCUGGCUGUGACUGUGAAGGUGAUUGUGCUAAUAACAAAAAUUGUUCAUGUGCUCAACUUAACGGCUCGGAUUUGCCUUAUGUAUCAUUUAAGAAUAUUGGCAGGUUAGUGGAGCCCAAAGCAGUUGUAUUCGAGUGUGGUGCUAACUGCAGCUGCAAUCGAAACUGUGUCAAUAGAACAUCUCAACAAGGGCUGCAACAUCGCCUAGAGGUUUUCAAGACGGCUUCCAAAGGAUGGGGUGUUAGGACCUGGGACACGAUCCUCCCGGGGGCUCCAAUCUGUGAGUAUGUUGGGGUGUUGAGGAGGACUGAGGAAGUGGAUGGUUUGCUACAUAACAACUACAUAUUUGACAUUGAUUGUCUUCAAACUAUGAAGGGUUUAGAUGGACGGGAGAAAAGGGCAGGGUCUGAUAUGAAUAUGCCAUCACUUCAUGCUGAAAAUGAUUCCGAGGCACCACCGGCACCAGAGUACUGCAUAGAUGCUGGCUCUAUUGGAAGUUUCGCAAGGUUCAUAAACCACAGCUGUAACCCUAACCUCUUCGUCCAGUGUGUCCUAACCAAUCACCACGACGUGAAGCUAGCCAAGGUGAUGCUUUUUGCUGCUGACACGAUACUUCCACUUCAGGAGCUCUGCUAUGACUACGGCUAUGUCCUGAACAGCGUCGUUUCUGCGGAUGGCGAAAUUGUCAAGCUGCCAUGCUACUGUGGUGCCCCAGACUGCCGCAAGCGACUCUACUAG
rnacentral:rRNA from 1 species